AAAGGAAUAGACGGGAGCCCGCACAAGCAGUGGAGUAUGUGGAUUAAUUCGACGCAACGCGAAGAACCUUACCAGGGUUUGACAUCCGCGUAAGGCGAGGUAAAGCUUGCCGUGCCCCUUCGGGGGAAACGCGAGACAGGUGGUGCAUGGUUGUCGUCAGCUCGUGUCGUGAGAUGUUGGGUUAAGUCCCGCAACGAGCGCAACCCUUACGGUUAGUUGCUACGGAAGAGCACUCUAACAGGACUGCCGUUGACAAAACGGAGGAAGGUGGGGACGACGUCAAAUCAUCAUGCCCUUUACGCUCUGGGCUUCACACGUACUACAAUGGCGCAAACAAAGGGGAGCAAGGCGGCGACGCGGAGCAAAUCCCAAAAAGGCGCCCCAGUUCAGAUUGCAGGCUGCAACUCGCCUGCAUGAAGCAGGAAUUGCUAGUAAUCGUAAAUCAGCAUGUUACGGUGAAUACGUUCCCGGGCUUUGUACACACCGCCCGU
rnacentral:rRNA from 1 species